GGGAAAAAAGUUUUGUAUUUGUUGUGCUCGCUCGUGGAUUUGGCGGCUUUGCUUCUCGAUUAGAGUGAAAAAAAUUUUUGUUGCAAAAUGAGAAGGUCAAAUGUCCCUAUUUGUGACAUUCUGCUUGCUCUUGAAAGGCUAUCUGAAAAAAAAAGAGAGGAUAAAGUUGCACCAGUAAAAGAAAACUUAAAACAGGAAAAAAGAAAGAAUAUAUUUGCACAAGAAAAAGAACACUUAAAGCAGGGAAAAAGAAAGAAUAUGGUUGCACAAGAAAAAGAGAACUCAAAGCAGG